GCGCUGAGCAGCCUGCAGUGCCGCUGGGGAGGGCAGAGGUGCAACGCUCUGUUGUCUGUCUCCUCCUUGGGGAGAUAAAGGUGGCCUGCGUCCCAGCUCUUCUCCGCCCUCCCGAUCCCAUCCCGGACCUGCUUUCCUGUUCUCAGUUAACAGGAGGGAGGAAUUUCUGAACAGACGGUCUUGCCGCUCCAGUGGUACCCGGCUCUGUGGAGUUCCCUGCACACACACACCUGGCUGUUUCACGCCUCUGUGCCUUUGCACAGGCUGUUCCCACAGCCUGAUACACCCCUCUCCACCUUCUCCAGCUGACCACCUCCUACUCAUCCAUCAGAGAUUCAGCUCGGGCAGGGGCUCCGGGGAGUCGCUGCCGUUCCUGGCCUGGACGGGACGCUCCUGCCGCCCUCCUGCAGCGCGGACCUCAGGUCUGCUGAGCACCACCUGAGGACGGGCACUGGCGCAUGCGCCCCAUAGAAGUGAUGGAGACACAGAGGACCUGCUCCAGGCGGGGCUUCAGCGUGUGGGUUCGCGGGUCCUGGGAGCCGAGAGAAGGCGCCUGUUUCUUCGGGUCUGACGGGCACAAGCCGAAUCUCCCCACGAGGUGCUCGUGUGUCCAGGUGCCGGCGUACAGGGCCCGAUGCCAGACCUUUCUGCAUCUCCUACCUCCUCCCCCUAGCUUCUCCCCUUUCGCGGGUGGCCCAGGUGCGUGGGGGCAUCGGCCGGGGAGGGGCCAGGGCCUAAGAAGUCUGCAGGGGUCGGCGGUGAAGGGCAGGGAGCCGCAGCCCCGAGCCCCCGCGCAAGGGUAGAGAUCUGAAGUCUAAGGCGGUCUCUGCGUGACCUUGGGCGAGUCAUUCCCCUCGGGAGCCUCAGCUGGCUCGCCCGUCAAAUGGGAACGCAGCGGCCGCACUUGGCGGGUUGCCCGCGGUGGAGCGCGGAGCUCGGCGGGGCGCCGGGACGAGGUGAGGAGGGGUCCAGCCGCCCAGGGGGAGUCGGGGGGCCGCGGGCGUCCCCGGGCGGGCGCUGGGGGGCGCUGCGCGCCGGGCGGCUCGCCCCGCGGCAAGUUUGCCUCCAGCUGUUGAAUGCGCCCGCGACGGCGACGGCGACGGCGACGGCGGCGGCGGGACCCGGAGCCCGCGGGAAGGAGAAGACCUGGGUGAGAAGCUGCUGCCGCCUGAGCCAGACUGGGACCGAGACCCCGUUGCUCCUGCUGCCGCUGCCAGCGCAGGGCCUCCCUGAGACCAGGCCAGGGAUAGACCUCGUGGGCCGGAGGGGCCCCCUUAGCCUGCAGACAUCGAGCAGAGACGACUGGCCGCCCUGAGCGCAAUUCAAUUCAACAGACAUUUACUGAGUGCCUACUAUGCGCCAGGCCUUAGGCUAGGCACGGGGGUGGGGGAGCAGAGAGGAAGAUGGGGUCCCAUCCUCAGGUAGCUCUGGGCUGGGGGGGCUUGGAGAAGCUGAACGGCUCAGCACCAGGAGAGAAGCUGCAUGCGGGGCUGGAAGCAGCAGAGGUACCUGGGUUCCAGUGCCUCCCUGGAGAGCUGCUGUCUCUCGUCUGUGCCUCAGUUUACCCAUCUGUAAAAUGGGGGUGGGUGAGGUGAGGUGGGGUGAGGCGAUCUCUAGGAUCCUUCCAGGAUUCCAUGGGGAUAGAAUCAAGGGAUGGGGGUAGAGCAGCAAGACCACUACUCUCCCUGCACAGAGGAAAUCUGAAGGCUUCUUGGAGGAAGAGGCAUGAGGUCCGGGUUAUAGGGGGUGGAGAAAAGUGGGAAUGGCACCCAGGCUUAGGAACAGCAUGAGCAGAGGCCCAGAGGACAUGUAGAUGGGCAUCCCCACAGCUUCCCAGGUUUAAAGGGAUGUCAUGGGGUAGGAGCUGGGUGGGGGAGGGGCCCAAGGGUGACAUGUUGGGGUGUGAGCUCUGCUCUGUGAGCUGUUCAGGGCAGAGAGUCAGGAACAAUGGUCCUACUUUGUCCUGCCCCUUCUCUUCUCCUUUCCCCUAAAGAGAGUCAUAGUCAGUUCCAUGG
rnacentral:lncRNA from 12 species